CAAAGAUGCUCAGUCAUAAAACAAGAUGAUCACUGUCUUCUGCAUAGCCCUUAAUGUCAUAAUGGUGUCAGGUUCCUCUCUCAGCGACCAGGUCUACCAGACUCCAGCUGACAUGUUCACCAAAACUAAAGGAACAGCCGAAAUCAACUGUUCUCACAGUAUUCAGAACUACGAUCAGAUCCUCUGGUACAAGCAACUCAACAAUAUGCAGCUCCAGCUCCUGGGCUACAUGUAUGCAACUCAUGGAAACCCAGAGGCUGGACUGGGUGUGAAGAUAGAAGGGAGUGCAAAUAAAAAUCAGGCCUGCACAUUAACAAUCGAAGGACUCGCCCUGAACAGCAGUGCCGUGUACUUCUGUGCUGCUAGGUUGCACAGUGCUACAGAUCACUGCUCCUCAGUACAAAAACCUCCUCACACAUCGUUUCUUCUCCGUCAACAAUUGGCAAUAUGCACAAUGACACCGCCCACUAAUGACUUGGGAGGGUUUACUCAAUGGAGGAGGUUGGAGAUUCUCUGUAUGACUGCUUCAGUCAUUGCAACAACAAAUUGGGGAUCUUAUUUAUUUUGAUCGAAUUUUCUGCAAUAUCACCAAACAUCCAGAAAAAAACACAAAAUGUACAUCGUCUUCCUUUGCAUUACUUUUAGAUCUUUGCUGGUGUCAGGUAACGCACUAAUAAUGGUGUAACGAACAUUUAAUU